UACGUAGGGGGCAAGCGUUGUCCGGAAUUAUUGGGCGUAAAGAGCUCGUAGGCGGUUUGUCGCGUCUGCUGUGAAAACUCGGGGCUUAACUCCGGGCCUGCAGUGGGUACGGGCAGACUAGAGUGCGGUAGGGGAGACUGGAAUUCCUGGUGUAGCGGUGAAAUGCGCAGAUAUCAGGAGGAACACCGGUGGCGAAGGCGGGUCUCUGGUCUGUAACUGACGCUGAGGCGCGAAAGCGUGGGGAGCAAACAGG
rnacentral:rRNA from 1 species